rnacentral:lncRNA from 1 species
GUAGAGUGGAUCUGCGCACAACUUUUGGAUUCACACCUACAAUGAAAGCAGAGGUGUUGUGGACUCUUAACACCAUCGCCAAACAUCAGUCCUACAAUGGAAAUGAGGGUAUUUCAGAGCUUUUCAAAAGCAUGUUCCCUGAUUCCGACAUCGCUACCACGUUUACUUGUGGGUCCGACAAAACGGCAUACAUAGCCAAGUUUGGUUUAGCGGUUCACAUCAAAGAGGAAUUGGUGUCCAAAGUAAACAAAUCGCCGUUCGUUCUUAUGUUCGACGAGAGCCUCAACGAGACAACAAAAAACAAACAGCUGGAUGUGCAUGUUCGCUUCUGGGACAAGGGACAGGUUCAGUCCAGAUACCUGGGCUCCCAGUUUAUGGGACAUUCCACUGCACAAGACCUGCUGUCACAUCUCAAAGAAUGUAUGGACAAACUGGACCUCAGACACUUGGUGUCCAUUUCAAUGGAUGGGUCCAGUGUGAACUGGAAACUCUUCGACAUUUUCCAGAAAGAUCAAUCUGAGCAGUACGGAGGUGUUCAGCUCAUUUGUGUGGGGAGCUGUGGCUUACACACGCUACACAACGCAUUCAAGUGUGGGUUCAGUGCAUGGCAGCUGGACAAGUUGCUGAGAGCAAUGCACACAUUGUUUCACAAUGUGCCUGCCAGGAGAGAGGAUUACAUCACCAUAACCAAGUCCAGUGUGUUCCCCCUGUCUUUCUGUGCCCAUCGUUGGGUAGAAAACCUUCCGGUUGUGGAGAGAGCCUUGGCUGUCUGGCCAUCACUUCUCCUGUACAUGGAAGCUGUGAAAACAAAGAGACUCUCCAACCCUGGGACAGCAUCCUAUGACACAGUUGCAGCAGCCAUAAAGGAUCCACUCAUCUUGGCCAAAUUGCAGUUCUACGCAGCACUUGCCAGGACCUUCACUCCCUUCUUGAAAAAAUAUCAGACAGAUAAUCCUGUGCUCCCAUUCCUCCCCAAGGAUCUCACCGAGUUGAUGAUGAGUCUACUCAGACGUUUCAUAAAGAGAGAAGUCCUCCACGAUAUCACUGCCCUGCAGCUGACCAAACUGGAUGUUACAGACAAGACCAUCUGGCUCAGCCCACAAGACAUCAGCAUUGGUCUAGGUGCAGAGUCGGUCCUUAAGGGGACGUCAUACUGCAGCAGUUUGACAGUCUCCUGUCCUUGGAGAGCAGGAGUGAGGACUUCCUCUCCUUUCCUCCCAUGCAGAAGAGGCUGGACGUCUUCCUGUGCAGUGCCAUGGAGCCUUAUCCAGAGCUGUGGGC